CACGUAGGCACCAAGCGUUGUCCGGAUUUAUUGGGCGUAAAGAGCUCGUAGGCGGUUCGGUAAGUCGGGUGUGAAAACUUUGGGCUCAACCCAAAGCCUGCACUCGAUACUGCUGUGACUUGAGUCCGGUAGGGGAGUGGGGAAUUCCUGGUGUAGCGGUGGAAUGCGCAGAUAUCAGGAGGAACACCGGUGGCGAAGGCGCCACUCUGGGCCGGUACUGACGCUGAGGAGCGAAAGCUAGGGGAGCGAACAGG
rnacentral:rRNA from 1 species